GACGAACGCUGGCGGCGUGCUUAACACAUGCAAGUCGAACGGAAAGGCCCUGCUUGUGUGGGGUGCUCGAGUGGCGAACGGGUGAGUAACACGUGAGUAACCUGCCCUACACUUUGGGAUAACUUCAGGAAACUGGGGCUAAUACCGGAUAGGAGCUCCUGCUGCAGGGUGGGGGUUGGAAAGUUUCGGCGGUUGGGGAUGGACUCGCGGCUUAUCAGCUUGUUGGUGGGGGAGUGGCUUACCAAGGCUUUGACGGGUAGCCGGCCUGAGAGGGUGACCGGCCACAUUGGGACUGAGAUACGGCCCAGACUCCUACGGGAGGCAGCAGUGGGGAAUAUUGCACAAUGGGCGGAAGCCUGAUGCAGCAACGCCGCGUGCGGGAUGACGGCCUUCGGGUUGUAAACCGCUUUCGCCUGUGACGAAGCGUGAGUGACGGUAAUGGGUAAAGAAGCACCGGCUAACUACGUG
rnacentral:rRNA from 1 species